UAUGGCCAUAUCAUGUUGAUAUACCAGUUAACCUGUGAUCACCGAAGUUAAGCAGCGUCAAGUCUGAGCAGUACCUGAAUGGGUGACUGCUUGCGAAUACAAGGUUCUGUAA